AGGACGAACGCUGGCGGCGUGCUUAACACAUGCAAGUCGAACGAGAUCCAUUUGGUGGUAACACCAGAGAAGAUCUAGUGGCGAACGGGUGAGUAACACGUGAGCAACCUACCCCGAAGAUUGGGAUAACACCGGGAAACCGAUGCUAAUACCGAAUACCCCCACCGGGUCACAUGGCCUGAUGAGGAAAUGGGUUUCUGCUUCGGGAGGGGCUCGCGGCCUAUCAGCUUGUUGGUAGGGUAAUGGCCUACCAAGGCUACGAUCGGUAGCUGGUCUGAGAGGAUGAUCAGCCACACUGGGACUGAGACACGGCCCAGACUCCUACGGGAGGCAGC
rnacentral:rRNA from 1 species